ACCAGUGUGGCAUAGUGGCUUGAGCACUGGACUAUGGCUCUAGAGACCAGGGUUCGAUUCCCAGCUCAACCA